UUGUUGAAAACAUAAUGAUUCCUACACUAAUAUGAUCUUGAGGCAUGCCCUGCAUGUACUGUGCGAGUACAUUGUAAAUAAUAUCUGAUAAGAUGGGCCAAAAAUAGCGGCACAGCGCGCAAAAUGCGCGGCGUGACCGCCGAAAUUUUAUACUUUAGACAUUAACAUUUCAAUCGGCUUUAGCGCUCAGCAUAUCUUCAUUGAGUAGACAUUAGAAUUUCAGUUCGUUGGAAUCGAAGUUCAGUUCACACCAAUCUAUUUCGUCGUACCUGGACUGCAUGCCGAGUAACUCCUUUUUUAUUGUGGAUUUCACAAGGUUCGUUGAUGUAGAGAAGUUGAUAUUGCUAGCAGUGUUUCUACAAUCGUUCCACAUUUUUGUCGAUUGAUAUAUGAAGGAGGUGGAUGGGGUUGGAGUGAUGAAUCGAUCAGCACGUCUUGAUGAUCUGUUAAAUAGAUUUAGGAGUGGGACUGGGGAUUCUAAUUUAUUGAUUUUGAACAUUUCCAAUAAACAUGUGUGUUUGAACAAACUGUGUAUGGUCAAUUCUGCUAGAGUCCAAGUUUCUAUCAAAGAUUUGGAAGAUGGGUGAGUGGUGUGAUAUACGGUCAGUCAGUAUUCCAGAAGCUACUAUACUCUCUACGUCGUAACUACACUUGGGGAGACUGUCAAGGAUGUCAGAGAGUUCAGAUAGUGCAACAUUGACAUUACCACUUGGAGGACGGUACAUUACACCAACUGUUACUGGGGAAGUUGUACUACUUACGGCCACAAAAAGAGUUUCUAAAUGUUCAGUGAUAUGGGAUACAUUGCCGUUUACUCUGGCACUAAGAGUGUCACAAACAUAGAGAGCCACUCCAGUGCCCUUU